UGGAUGUUGUUUUGAUUAAUUACUUGUUGAGAUGUCAUAAUCUCAUUGUAGUGUUUUACCCUACGGUUCCGUCUUAUGGUACUGUAGAGUCUGACGCAGAGCCCGAGUAUGAACCCGAGAGAUCAGCUCCGCCGGAGGUUUGAGUUGCUGAUAUAUUAUUCAUCAUUUUUG